rnacentral:rRNA from 2 species
AGAGUUUGAUCCUGGCUCAGGAUGAACGCUAGCGGCAGGCCUAACACAUGCAAGUCGAGGGGCAUCACGAGGUAGCAAUACUUUGGUGGCGACCGGCGCACGGGUGCGUAACGCGUAUGUAACCUACCUAUAACAGGGGCAUAACACUGAGAAAUUGGUACUAAUUCCCCAUAAUAUUCGGAGAGGCAUCUCUCCGGGUUGAAAACUCCGGUGGUUAUAGAUGGACAUGCGUUGUAUUAGCUAGUUGGUGAGGUAACGGCUCACCAAGGCAACGAUACAUAGGGGGACUGAGAGGUUAACCCCCCACACUGGUACUGAGACACGGACCAGACUCCUACGGGAGGCAGCAGUGAGGAAUAUUGGUCAAUGGACGCAAGUCUGAACCAGCCAUGCCGCGUGCAGGAUGACGGCUCUAUGAGUUGUAAACUGCUUUUGUACGAGGGUAAACGCAGAUACGUGUAUCUGUCUGAAAGUAUCGUACGAAUAAGGAUCGGCUAACUCCGUGCCAGCAGCCGCGGUAAUACGGAGGAUUCAAGCGUUAUCCGGAUUUAUUGGGUUUAAAGGGUGCGUAGGCGGUUUGAUAAGUUAGAGGUGAAAUCCCGGGGCUUAACUCCGGAACUGCCUCUAAUACUGUUAGACUAGAGAGUAGUUGCGGUAGGCGGAAUGUAUGGUGUAGCGGUGAAAUGCUUAGAGAUCAUACAGAACACCGAUUGCGAAGGCAGCUUACCAAACUAUAUCUGACGUUGAGGCACGAAAGCGUGGGGAGCAAACAGGAUUAGAUACCCUGGUAGUCCACGCAGUAAACGAUGAUAACUCGUUGUCGGCGAUACACAGUCGGUGACUAAGCGAAAGCGAUAAGUUAUCCACCUGGGGAGUACGUUCGCAAGAAUGAAACUCAAAGGAAUUGACGGGGGCCCGCACAAGCGGAGGAACAUGUG